rnacentral:rRNA from 1 species
CCUACGGGUGACAGCAGUGAGGAAUAUUGGUCAAUGGGCGCGAGCCUGAACCAGCCAAGUCGCGUGAGGGAAGACUGUCCUAUGGAUUGUAAACCUCUUUUAUCGGGGAGUAAAAUACGCCACGCGUGGCGUUCUGAGAGUACCUGAUGAAUAAGCAUCGGCUAACUCCGUGCCAGCAGCCGCGGUAAUACGGAGGAUGCGAGCGUUAUCCGGAUUUAUUGGGUUUAAAGGGAGCGCAGGGGGAAGAUAAAGUCAGUGGUAAAAUUGUGGGGCUCAACCUCAUAGUGCCGUUGAUACUGGUUUUCUUGAGUGAAGGAGAGGUAGGCGGAAUGCGUGGUGUAGCGGUGAAAUGCAUAGAUAUCACGAAGAACUCCGAUUGCGAAGGCAGCAUACCGGCGCUCAACUGACGCUGAUGCACGAAAGUGUGGGUAUCGAACAGGAUUAGAUACCCCUGUAGUC